rnacentral:rRNA from 1 species
GGGUGCGGAACACGUGUGCAACCUGCCUUUAUCUGGGGGAUAGCCUUUCGAAAGGAAGAUUAAUACCCCAUAAUAUGUUGAAUGGCAUCAUUCGACAUUGAAAACUCCGGUGGAUAGAGAUGGGCACGCGCAAGAUUAGAUAGUUGGUGAGGUAACGGCUCACCAAGUCUACGAUCUUUAGGGGGGCCUGAGAGGGUGAUCCCCCACACUGGUACUGAGACACGGACCAGACUCCUACGGGAGGCAGCAGUGAGGAAUAUUGGACAAUGGGUGAGAGCCUGAUCCAGCCAUCCCGCGUGAAGGACGACUGCCCUAUGGGUUGUAAACUUCUUUUGUAUAGGGAUAAACCUACCCUCGUGAGGGUAGCUGAAGGUACUAUACGAAUAAGCACCGGCUAACUCCGUGCCAGCAGCCGCGGUAAUACGGAGGGUGCAAGCGUUAUCCGGAUUUAUUGGGUUUAAAGGGUCCGUAGGCGGAUCUGUAAGUCAGUGGUGAAAUCUCACAGCUUAACUGUGAAACUGCCAUUGAUACUGCAGGUCUUGAGUGUUGUUGAAGUAGCUGGAAUAAGUAGUGUAGCGGUGAAAUGCAUAGAUUUACUUA